rnacentral:rRNA from 1 species
GAUCCUGGCUCAGGAUGAACGCUAGCGACAGGCUUAACACAUGCAAGUCGAGGGGUAGCGGGGAGUAGCAAUACUUCGCCGGCGACCGGCGCACGGGUGAGUAACACGUGUGCAACCAACCCCGUACCGGGAGAUAACCCGCGGAAACGUGGACUAACAUCCCAUGAUACUCGAGAGCCGCAUGGCUCUCGAUUUAAAAUUCCGGUGGUACGGGACGGGCACGCGCGACAUUAGGUAGUUGGCGGGGUAACGCCCACCAAGCCG